rnacentral:rRNA from 1 species
AUGCAGAGCGAAGUUUGGCUGCUAUGCGCGACGCUCGCCGCCGCGCUACUCUACUACCUGACCAGCGCAGCCCGCCGCGGGGGCACCGGGGGACGGCCGCCUCCGGGCCCGACGCCGCUCCCGGUCCUCGGCAACCUGCUCGACCUGGGCGGCAACCUGCACCACACGCUGGCGCGCCUGGCCCGCGCCCACGGCCCCGUCAUGAAGCUCAAGCUGGGCCUGGUCACCACUGUGGUGGUCUCCUCGCGUGACGCUGCGCGGGAGGCCUUCACCAGGUACGACCGCCACCUGGCCGCGCGCGCCGUCCCGGACGCUGCCAGCGUGGUCGGCAACUCCGGGCGGUCCAUGAUCUGGCUGCCCAGCUCCGACCCGCUCUGGAAGACGUUGCGGGGCAUCGUGGCCUCGCACAUAUUCUCGCCGCGUGGCCUCGCCGCGGCGCGCGGCGUGCGCGAGCGCAAGGUGCGUGACAUGGUGGCCUACUUCCGCCGCUGCGCCGGGCAGGAGGUGGACGUCGGCCAGGCCGUGUACGGCGGCGUGCUGAACCUCGUGUCCAGCGCCUUCUUCUCCGUUGACGUGGUGGACGUGGGCGGCGAGUCCGCCAGCGGGCUGCGGGAGGUCGUGGAGGACAUCAUCGCCGCGCUCGGCAAGCCCAACGUCUCCGACAUCUUCCCAUUCCUCCGUCCGCUGGACCUGCAGGGCUGGCGUCGCUGGACGGGGGCGCGCUACCAGAAGGUCUUUGGCAUACUUGACGGAAUUAUAGACCGCCGUCUGGCAGACGCCCGGACGUCGUCCACGGGCGAGCACGCGCACGGCGACUUCCUGGACUCGCUGCUGGAGCUCGUUUCCGCAGGCAAGAUCGGUCGCGACAAGGUGACGGUGAUACUGUUCGACGUGUUCGCGGCCGGGACCGACACGAUGGCCAUCACGGUGGAGUGGGCGAUGGCCGAGCUGCUCCGGCACCCGCGCGCCAUGGCCAAGGCGCGCGCGGAGAUGGAGGACGUCCUCGGCGGCAAGGUCGACACGGACACCCUCGAGGAGCCUGACGCGGCGAGCCUGCCGUACCUGCAGGCCGUGGUGAAGGAGGUGAUGCGGCUGCAUCCGGUGGCGCCGAUCAUGCUGCCGCACCAGGCGGCGGAGGACGGCGUGGAGAUCGGCGGCUUCGCCGUGCCCAGGGGCGCCACGGUGAUCUUCAACGUGUGGGCGAUCAUGCGGGACCCGGCGGCGUGGGAGAGGCCCGACGAGUUCGUGCCGGAGAGGUUUCUGGAUAAGGCGGCGGAUAGGGCGGUGGAGUUCCGGGGCAAGGACUACGAGUUCAUCCCGUUCGGGUCCGGGCGGCGGCUGUGCCCCGGCCUGCCGAUGGCGGAGCGGGUCGUGCCGUUCGUGGUGGCGUCGCUGCUGCACGCGUUCGAGUGGCGGCUCCCGGACGGCGUGGCGGCAGACGAGCUGGACGUGACCGAGAAGUUCACCACCGUGAACACGCUCGCCGUGCCCCUCAGGGCCGUCCCCGUCAUGGUCACGUAG